AUGUCUUUGUCUCUCUCUGUCUGUAUGUGUCCCCCCUCUCUCUCUGUCUGUAUGUGUCCCCCCUCUCUCUCUGUCUGUAUGUGUCCCCCCUCUCUCUCUGUCUGUAUGUGUCCCCCCUCUCUCUCUGUCUGUAUGUGUCCCCCCUCUCUCUCUGUCUGUAUGUGUCCCCCCUCUCUCUCUGUCUGUAUGUGUCCCCCUCUCUCUCUGUCUGUAUGUGUCCCCCCUCUCUCUCUGUCUGUAUGUGUCCCCCCUCUCUCUCUGUCUGUAUGUUCCCCCCCUCUCUCUGUCUGUAUGUGUCCCCACUCUCUCUCUGUCUGUAUGUGUCCCAUCUCUCUCCUCUCUCUCUGUAUGUGUCCCCUCUCUCUCCCUCUCUCUCUGUAUGUGUCCCCUCUCUCUCCCUCUCUCUCUGUAUGUGUCCCCUCUCUCUCCCUCUCUCUCUGUAUGUGUCCCCUCUCUCUCCCUCUCUCUCUGUAUGUGUCCCCUCUCUCUCCCUCUCUCUCUGUAUGUGUCCCCUCUCUCUCCCUCUCUCUCUGUAUGUGUCCCCUCUCUCUCCCUCUCUCUGUCUGUAUGUGUCCCCCCUCUUCCUCUCCCUCUCUCUGUCUGUAUGUGUCCCCCCUCUUCCUCUCUCCCUCUCUGUCUGUAUGUGUCCCCCCUCUUCCUCUCCCUCUCUCUGUCUGUAUGUGUCCCCCCUCUUCCUCUCCCUCUCUCUGUCUGUAUGUGUCCCCCCUCUCUCUCUCUCUGUCUGUAUGUGUCCUCUCUCUCUCUCUCUCUCUCUCUCUCUCUCUCUCUCUCUGUCUGUCUGUAUGUGUCCUCUCUCUCUCUCUCUCUCUGUCUGUAUGUGUCCUCUCUCUCUCUCUCUCUGUCUGUCUGUAUGUGUCCUCUCUCUCUCUCUCUCUCUCUCUCUCUCUCUCUCUCUCUCUCUCUCUCUCUCUGUCUCUCUCUCUCUGUCUGUAUGUGUGUCCCCCCUCUUCCUCUCUCUGUCUGUAUGUGUGUCUCUCUCUGUCUGAUUUGACCUGUUUUUCUUUCCGUCUCUGUCUGGUUCCAUCUGUUUGUUUUUGUUAA
rnacentral:lncRNA from 1 species